AAAGCGUAAUAGCUCACUGGUCGAGUCGGCCUGCGCGGAAGAUUUAACGGGGCUAAGCUAUACACCGAAGCUGCGGCAAUGUGCUUAUGCACAUUGGGUAGGGGAGCGUUCUGUAAGCCGUCGAAGGUGCAUUGUAAAGUGUGCUGGAGGUAUCAGAAGUGCGAAUGCUGACAUGAGUAACGACAAAGGGAGUGAAAAACUCCCUC
rnacentral:rRNA from 1 species